GAACGGCGGCGAAACGCGCGCACGCGUGCAACACGACGGAAGAACAGCAAAGCGCGGCAGUUGCUUGCAGACUAACCGGAAGUCGUAGGUUAUUGUUCGACCAAUCACAGCAUCGCCUGCAUAG
rnacentral:lncRNA from 1 species